GAAUCUCCAAUGCUCUAAAGAUCUUCUCACAUCUGGAUUGACUUAGACCAGUAGUCAAGACAACUGGUGAGCGCUUGUUUCAGAAGGCCUCACAGAAGAAAAACUGACGCUAACAACCUGAAUGCUGGUACGAUGUUUGCCAAGUCUGCUUCAGUCAGUCCUUUUACUUAAAGCUGCAUGUAUAUGAGCUGUAGAAUUUGUGUGGACCUUGUUUGGAAGGAGGCUAAUAAUAGUAGGUGAUAUUUGUUGUCCUAUGGCUGUAUCUUGGCAAAAUCGAUAUGCUUUUUGCCACUGGAAUGUGGGCUGCAUCAUUUUAUUUUUGGCUCGCUCACAUAUGCUAAUAAUAAAUGCAGUGUUUUUCUUAAGGGCUGACCCACAAGUUUUUUUUUUUUUUUUUUGAAAGAGUGCAAACAGCCAUGCAUUCAUUGGACGCAAGGCAAACAAUACACAAUGCUUAAGUAUAUGUUGUUUACCAAGAUCGUGGAUGAUACUUUUUUCAGUUGUAUUUAAUGUGAUAUUUUCUCGCGUUGUUUUAGUGGACAUUUUGUACUCCUGAACUUCUGAAGAGAAGGCCCGCCAAAAUAACUUCUCUGCUUCUGCUUAAGUUCCAUGAUGCUUUUUGAUGUGUUUUUGUAAUUUUACAGUAAAAACAUAACUAGAGUUUAGGGGAGUGGAUUAUCAUCAUCUUCAGUACGGGACAUUUGUGGAAGCUGAAUUACUUUAGUAUCUAGAAUUCUGCAUAGUGUCCGUCUUUCAUGCAGUAAGCUCUUGGUUCUCCUCCUCUUCCAUGUCAGGAGUUUGAAUUGAAAGAGAGGUAAAUAAUUGUAUGCAUUGUUGUGUGCCUAAAUGUAACCUGUUCUGAAAGACAUGAAAACAUGGAAAUGUUUCAUUAAAUACUAAGUGUAAUAAAUGACAAGUAAUCAUUUUUAUUAAAUUAAAGCAAUGAAUAAAU